rnacentral:rRNA from 1 species
UACGUAGGGAGCAAGCGUUGUCCGGAAUUAUUGGGCGUAAAGAGCUCGUAGGCGGCUUGUCGCGUCGGCUGUGAAAACUCGGGGCUCAACCCCGAGCCUGCAGUCGAUACGGGCAGGCUGGAGUCCGGGCAGGGGAGACUGGAAUUCCUGGUGUAGCGGUGAAAUGCGCAGAUAUCAGGAGGAACACCGGUGGCGAAGGCGGGUCUCUGGGCCGGAACUGACGCUAAGGAGCGAAAGCGUGGGGAGCGAACAGGA